AAUGAACGCUGGCGGCGUGGAUUAGGCAUGCAAGUCGUGCGGAAAGGCUCCUUCGGGAGUACUCGAGCGGCGUAAGGGAGAGUAACGCGUGGAUAUCUACCCCCUGGACUGGGAUAGCGGCGGGAAACUGCCGGUAAUACCAGAUAAUGUCUGCGGACCAAAGGUGUGAUUCCGCCGGGGGAUGAGUUCGCGUCCUAUUAGCUAGUUGGUAGGGUAAUGGCCUACCAAGGCAAAGAUGGGUACCGGGUGUGAGAGCAUGGCCCGGCUCACUGGGACUGAGACACUGCCCAGACACCUACGGGUGGCUGCAGUCGAGAAUCUUCGGCAAUGGGCGCAAGCCUGACCGAGCGACGCCGCGUGCGGGAUGAAGGCCUUCGGGUUGUAAACCGCUGUCAGAGGGGAGGAAAUGCGUGAGAGUUCUCUCUCACGUUUGACCUAUCCUCAGAGGAAGUACGGGCUAAGUUCGUGCCAGCCGCCGCCGUAA
rnacentral:rRNA from 1 species